rnacentral:lncRNA from 1 species
AAGAAUUUCCAGUGUACUGGAGCCACUCAGCCUUUCUGGGAAGGGCCAUUCCAAAUAUUGUUAACUACUCCAACAUCUUUAAAGUUUGGAGAGAAGGACUCUUGGAUUCAUUGCUCACAUGUAAAGAGAGCAUCUUCUGUUGAGACUGAUUGACUGUAUCCUAUCACAUGCAUUGGAGAUAAUAAUCCAUUGACAAGUGGAUGCUGUUUUCAGGAACACAUUGAAUUCCUGAUCCCCCCCCCUCAUUUUUAUUAUUGCUUUCCUUUUAUUUUGAUUAGAAUAUUUGAUUUUUCCCCUUUUCUCAUUUCUUGUACUUAAGGUAUAUACAAUCAAUAUUAAUUUAAUUUUAUAGUAAUAUGAGUUUAACAUAUAUAUAUAUAUAUAUAUAUACUUGCUAUAAUAUUAAUACAUACCCAAACAGCUUUAGAAUGUAGGAACCUGCCAUUUAUUGAUAAUUGUUAUUGGACUGUGAUUAAUGUUUGUGUCUGAUUCUAGGAAACGGGAUCAAAAAGGAGCACAGACUUAACCUGAAUAAUGCCAAAAGAGCACACAGGUCAAAAAAAAAAAGAAAGAAACCAAUCCAGGUGUAGAGUAUAAUCAGACAAGACUGGCACUUCUUCUGUGAAGGACCUCCCAAGUGUUUUUCAGUUUCGAAGCAUUGAACUUUCCUGUUUCUUUUUGCUAACGAACGCAGCAUUUCAUGUAUCGAUUGGUACAGAAGCCAGAUUGCUCGUAGUGUCUUGGACAAUGAGAGAAACAACGACCACCCCCCAACCGACAUUGAAAAAAGUCUCCAGCUUCCUCCAUUCCUGUGGAAAGAACAUAAAUGUUUCAGAAUCUUUGUUUACAGCACAGUGAAGUUAUUCCAUAUUCUG